GCGAGGGUGGCGAAAUAGCAGACGCGCUGCCAAGAAAAAGGGUGGUGAGCCGACUUCCGGCCGACGGUUGGCUCGUGGAGGUUCAAGUCCUCCCUCUCGCA
rnacentral:tRNA from 1 species